rnacentral:lncRNA from 1 species
GCCGAGCCCAGCUAGGAAUGCAGACCUCCUGAAAACCAAGCCGAGGACUGCGGGGUCCGGUGUCCACGCAGAGUGUCAGCUUCCUCUGGUGCAACCAGCAAGUCUUCCAGUAUGAAUCCCACAGAAACCAAGGCUGUAAAAACAGAACCUGAGAAGAAGUCACAGUCAACCAAGCUGUCUGUGGUUCAUGAGAAAAAAUCCCAAGAAGGAAAGCCAAAAGAACACACAGAGCCAAAAAGCCUACCCAAGCAGGCAUCAGAUACAGGAAGUAACGAUGCUCACAAUAAAAAAGCAGUUUCCAGAUCAGCUGAACAGCAGCCAUCAGAGAAAUCAACAGAACCAAAGACUAAACCACAAGACAUGAUUUCUGCUGGUGGAGAGAGUGUUGCUGGUAUCACUGCAAUAUCUGGCAAGCCGGGUGACAAGAAAAAAGAAAAGAAAUCAUUAACCCCAGCUGUGCCAGUUGAAUCUAAACCGGAUAAACCAUCGGGAAAGUCAGGCAUGGAUGCUGCUUUGGAUGACUUAAUAGAUACUUUAGGAGGAC